ACAUGGUGUCUCGAAACGACGAACUGUAGCAACGGUGCACAGUCGGGGAGAACAGAAUUUCGUCUUGAAAUUUUAGUGAGAGAUCACCUCAUAAUGCUACCGUCGUUCUAAGCAAAAUAAGGUGCAUAAAAGGAUUAACAUCACAUACAAUUCAUAAGUGACAUGAUAUGGCCAUCAUCAUGUGCUUCUUGAUCUCCAUCACCAAAGCACCGACAUGAUCUUCUUGUCACCGGCGCCACACCAUGAUCUCCAUCAUCAUGAUCUCCAUAAACGUGUUGCCAUCGGGGUUGUCGUGCUACUUAUGCUAUUACUACUAAAGCUAUGUCCUAGCAAUAUAGUAAAUGCA
rnacentral:lncRNA from 1 species